rnacentral:rRNA from 1 species
AGAGUUUGAUUAUGGCUCAGGAUGAACGCUAGCGAUAGGCCUAACACAUGCAAGUCGAGGGGCAGCACAUGAAGUAGCAAUACGGAUGGUGGCGACCGGCGCACGGGUGAGUAACGCGUAUGCAACCUGCCUACAACAGGGGAAUAACCCGUUGAAAGACGGACUAAUACCCCAUAACACAGGGAUCCCGCAUGGGAAUAUUUGUUAAAGAUUUAUCGGUUGUAGAUGGGCAUGCGUUCCAUUAGCUUGUUGGUGAGGUAACGGCUCACCAAGGCAACGAUGGAUAGGGGAACUGAGAGGUUUAUCCCCCACACUGGUACUGAGACACGGACCAGACUCCUACGGGAGGCAGCAGUGAGGAAUAUUGGUCAAUGGACGCAAGUCUGAACCAGCCACGUCGCGUGAAGGAAGACGGCCCUACGGGUUGUAAACUUCUUUUGUAAGGGAAUAAAGUGUAGUACGUGUACUAUUCUGCAUGUACCUUACGAAUAAGGAUCGGCUAACUCCGUGCCAGCAGCCGCGGUAAUACGGAGGAUCCGAGCGUUAUCCGGAUUUAUUGGGUUUAAAGGGUGCGCAGGCGGGAGAUUAAGUCGGCGGUGAAAUUUUGCAGCUCAACUGUAAAAGUGCCUUCGAAACUGGUUCUCUUGAGUGUGGAUGAAGUAGGCGGAAUUUGUGGUGUAGCGGUGAAAUGCAUAGAUAUCACGAGGAACUCCGAUUGCGCAGGCAGCUUACUAAACCAUAACUGACGCUCAGGCACGAAGGCGUGGGGAUCAAACAGGAUUAGAUACCCUGGUAGUC